UCUUGCUUCAGCCAAACAUAUACUAAAAUUGGUAAAAUACAGAGAAGAUACAGGUUCCUGAGCAAGAACGACAUGAAAAUUCUUGAAGUCUUCCAUAUUUUA